ACGGAAGGCAGUAGUGAGGAAUAUUGGUCAAUGGGCGGAAGCCUGAACCAGCCAUCUCGCGUGCAGGACUACGGCCCUACGGGUCUUAAACUGCUUUUAUGGGGGGAUAAAGUCGGGCAUUCGUGCCCGUUUGCAGGUACCCCAUGAAUAAGGAUCGGCUAACUCCGUGCCAGCAGCCGCGGUAAUACGGAGGAUCCGAGCGUUAUCCGGAUUUAUUGGGUUUAAAGGGUGCGCAGGCGGCCCGUUAAGUCAGCGGUGAAAGGUCGGGGCUCAACCCGGGCACUGCCGUUGAAACUGGGGGGCUUGAGUACGGAUGAGGUCGGCGGAAUGUGACGUGUAGCGGUGAAAUGCAUAGAUAUGUCACAGAACACCGAUUGCGAAGGCAGCCGGCCAAUCCGCAACUGACGCUCAUGCACGAAAGCGUGGGGAUCGAACAGGAUUAGAUACCCUGGUA
rnacentral:rRNA from 1 species